rnacentral:rRNA from 1 species
GGGGAACCCUGACGCAGCGACGCCGCGUGCGGGACGGAGGCCUUUGGGUCGUAAACCCCUUUCAGCAGGGAAGAGUCAAGACUGUACCUGCAGAAGAAGCCCCGGCUAACUACGUGCCAGCAGCCGCGGUAAUACGUAGGGGGCGAGCGUUAUCCGGAUUCAUUGGGCGUAAAGCGCGCGUAGGCGGCCCGGCAGGCCGGGGGUCGAAGCGGGGGGCUCAACCCCCCGAAGCCCCCGGAACCUCCGCGGCUUGGGUCCGGUAGGGGAGGGUGGAACACCCGGUGUAGCGGUGGAAUGCGCAGAUAUCGGGUGGAACACCGGUGGCGAAGGCGGCCCUCUGGGCCGAGACCGACGCUGAGGCGCGAAAGCUGGGGGAGCGAACAGGAUUAGAUACCCUGGUAGUCCCAGCCGUAAACGAUGGACGCUAGGUGUGGGGGGACGAUCCCCCCGUGCCGCAGCCAACGCAUUAAGCGUCCCGCCUGGGGAGUACGGCCGCAAGGCUAAAACUCAAAGGAAUUGACGGGGGCCCGCACAAGCAGCGGAGCAUGUGGCUUAAUUCGAAGCAACGCGAAGAACCUUACCAGGGCUUGACAUAUGGGUGAAGCGGGGGAGACCCCGUGGCCGAGAGGAGCCCAUACAGGUGGUGCAUGGCUGUCGUCAGCUCGUGUCGUGAGAUGUUGGGUUAAGUCCCGCAACGAGCGCAACCCCCGCCGCGUGUUGCCAUCGGGUGAUGCCGGGAACCCACGCGGGACCGCCGCCGUCAAGGCGGAGGAGGGCGGGGACGACGUCAAGUCAUCAUGCCCCUUAUGCCCUGGGCUGCACACGUGCUACAAUGGCCGGUACAGAGGGAUGCCACCCCGCGAGGGGGAGCGGAUCCCGGAAAGCCGGCCCCAGUUCGGAUUGGGGGCUGCAACCCGCCCCCAUGAAGUCGGAGUUGCUAGUAAUCGCGGAUCAGCAUGCCGCGGUGAAUGCGUUCCCGGGCCUUGCACACACCGCCCGUCA